rnacentral:rRNA from 1 species
CCUACGGGGGGCAGCAGUGAGGAAUAUUGGUCAAUGGGCGUAAGCCUGAACCAGCCAAGUCGCGUGAGGGAUGAAGGUUCUAUGGAUCGUAAACCUCUUUUAUAAGGGAAUAAAGUGUGGGACGUGUCCUGUUUUGUAUGUACUUUAUGAAUAAGGAUCGGCUAACUCCGUGCCAGCAGCCGCGGUAAUACGGAGGAUCCGAGCGUUAUCCGGAUUUAUUGGGUUUAAAGGGUGCGUAGGCGGCUUUUUAAGUCAGCUGUGAAAGUCUGUGGCUCAACCAUAAAAUUGCCGUUGAAACUGGGAGGCUUGAGUAUAGUUGAGGCAGGCGGAAUUCGUGGUGUAGCGGUGAAAUGCUUAGAUAUCACGCAGAACCCCGAUUGCGAAGGCAGCCUGCCAAGCCAUGACUGACACUGAUGCACGAAAGCGUGGGGAUCAAACAGGAUUAGAUACCCUUGUAGUC